GGAGCCUAGAGAUACAUGAAGAAACUGCGCUUGUCUUUUGGUCGUGGACUGGGUGACACAGAUGUGGAUAUACCUUUGUGAAAGGGGAAGGAGCAAAGAACAGGCUCUAUUCCCCCCACUCUCACUUACUGAAGGCACCUUGGCUUAAAAGUCCCAGUAUGCCAUGAACCAGAUUUCCUGAAUGAGGACAGCUGGGAAGGAGUGAGGUGAAUAUAUAGAGGCGGAACACACAUGAGGAGACUCUUGGAGGAGACACAUGGAGAAGAGACAGGUAGAGACACUUGGAAAAGAAAUUUGGAAGACACAUGUGGAUGAGAAACAUGUCGGAAGGCUGCUCCUGUUCUUUGACAGUGACAAUGGCAGGCAUUAUCUUGACUUCAUGUUGGAUUAUAUAGUACAUCUUGAAUUUUGAGUCUCACCUUUUGUCCCAGCUCUCGGUGAUCACUAACCAGAAGGUUCUCAUCCCUCAACUGCAAUCCUAUAGCUCACAAAAGUUCUUUCAUCUUUCUGACAACUUGAAAUAAGUUUUCAAGAAAGGAAUAAAAGAUAAAAUCUCUCUCU